GGAGAGGUGGCUGAGUGGCCGAAAGCGCCGGUUUGCUAAAUCGGUGAUGGGAGAAAUCCCAUCCGCGGGUUCGAAUCCCGCCCUCUCCG
rnacentral:tRNA from 1 species